rnacentral:rRNA from 1 species
CAAGUAAUCUCGGGCUUGGUUAGUACUUGGAUGGGUGACCGCUUGGGAAUACCAAGUGUGAUAAGCA